rnacentral:lncRNA from 1 species
CAGUCAACACAAGAGCCUGUCAGAGACUCCUGGACAUCCUCCCCCAGCAGAUGAAGACACAGGAUGUCUUACGUGAUUCAUUACGUGAAUGCUCAUCUCAAGAGAGAUCUGGAACACUGACAUAGCAUCAGGGAUUGACAAAAGCAUGGAAAACCAAAUAAAUACACAAACAGAACAAAUAUAAUUCAGAGUAGCAGCCUCAA